CGUCCGCGGACAUGAGGAAAGUCCCCCCACCGUCCGGACGGGUGACCGGGCGCAAGCCCGGAGUCGGAGACGACUGGCUCUGGAACAGAAACGAGACCCCUCGGUCCGACCGAUGAGACGCGUGCGGCGGACUCCUCCGCCGCCGACGCCCGCGGGGCGACCCGCGGGCGUGCGAACCGACCCGUAAGGGGAGGGAGUUGACCCGUCGAGGGACGCGAGGCGACGCAGUCGCCUCGGAGGACGAACGGACGCAUCGCGCCCGCGAGUCCAGCGGUCAUUUCGUGACCGUGGACGACCGAGAACGGAUGGAACGGCGAACCCUCACCGGUGCAAGUCCGCGCCGCUAAGGUAGUCCGGACAGCACGCUCGGGUUCGCCCGGCGUGCCCCCGAGAGGGGAGGACGCGGACGCUCAGCCGAAUGCCGGGACGAACAGAAGGGGGCUUACU
rnacentral:RNase_P_RNA from 1 species